rnacentral:rRNA from 1 species
GACGAACGCUGGCGGCGCGCCUAACACAUGCAAGUCGAACGGAGUUAUUUCAGCAGAAGCUUUCGGGUGGACGCAGGGAUAACUUAGUGGCGAACGGGUGAGUAACACGUGAGGAACCUGCCCUGGAGUGGGGGAUAACAGUUGGAAACGGCUGCUAAUACCGCAUAAGCGCACAGUACCGCAUGGUACGGUGUGAAAAACUCCGGUGGUAUGAGAUGGACCCGCGUCUGAUUAGCUAGUUGGUGGGGUAACGGCCUACCAAGGCGACGAUCAGUAGCCGACCUGAGAGGGUGACCGGCCACAUUGGGACUGAGACACGGCCCAA